AUAGUGCAUAUUUUAAUGGCAGCCCCAUGUUCUGACAGCUGUCAGUGAAUAAUGCCCAAGUGCAAAUAACAAUAUCCCCUACUGAACCGGCGCAAAAUGCUCGUGAAAUUUUUUCACACCGCACACAGUUUUACUUUGCAGCCUGCGCCAUUCCAUUAAUAGUGAAAAAAUCUUGUGAUGGCAAAGACGUUGGGUGUUCAAUAGACUGUUCACUAAAGACCCCAGCUAUAUCAACAGCAGAAGCGGCUACAUAAACUGAGUAUUUAUUAUACAAAAGGCUAAUAAGGCAGUGUGAAGUAGUAGGAAGUGAAGGAAGAAAGACGAAUAAUUUAAAGAGUGUGAUUUUCUUUGGAAGCGCUUAACGAAUACAAUACAAGGAAGGGGAAACUUU